AGCUGCCUGUAAGAAGAAACGUUGCUAUGAGUUCUGCUGGCCCUCUCCAAAACACUAAUUCCUGAUGGGAGCAGUCCCGGGUCAGGAGCAGCUGUUUAAUUAACACAUCCCAGGAGCUGCCCCUCAGGAUAGGGAUGCACCCACCCCCUCCAGGUGCUCCCAACAUUUCCUCUGCUGCACCUCAGCUGUGUGAGCCACAAAAGGGAUUCAGCAUCAUCAGGAAAGACAGAGAGGAGAUGGAAAAGGGACAGGAUCCUUUCACUAAAUCCUGAGUCAAAGGAGGAACAGCUACCAAGGACCAACAGCUACGCAGAUCAGUCUGAACUGUGGAGACACCUGGAAGAAGGGAACUGAAUCUGGAUUUUAGUAUGGAAGCUGACAGGACACAGACCCGGUGGAUUUGUGGACGUUCUAAGCUGGAAAGGUGACCAGGUGUGCUGGGAAGGGGAUUUCAUAAAUCCAACAUGUAACCAAAGAGCUGUGAAAUGCAGGGCAAUAUCAGACUGGAGUUAGGAAAUAAACAGCAAGGUUAGAUCAGGCAGCAGAAGUUUCCAUUUGAAAAGGCAUAAUGGAGAAAGAAGGGAAUAAUUUGCUCCUCACAGUUCCCAUUUUUCCAUUAAGGACCUCACAGCCCAUUUGCCAUGAGUCACACUCCCUCCGCUCUUUCUGCCUUUCUAGAAGGAAGGCAGCAAACAAGAAGUGGCUGUUAAUCCAAGUCUCCAAGGUUUUACUCAUCCUCCCAAAACACUUCUUCAUCACCUUUCCCUCCUCCAGUCACAUCUUGCUGCAGCUCAGACCCUCCUGUAAGUGCCUUAGCAGCGGGAAGGGGCAGCAGCUGUUCCCAGAGGAGCAUCCCAUGUUGCCCAGGACAGCUCCUCACCUGCUGGGAUUUCCUGACAGCAACACUACAGACACCGACAAGAAAUAAAAAAAGAGAAAGAAAGAUUUGAAAAUAGGAAGAAUCAAGAAGUAAAUGUGAUUUGAAGGUUCCUCUGGAGUUUCGAGAUACAAUCCUGUGAGACUUUUCCCCCACCCUGAACUUCAUCAGGACAACACACAGACACAGCUCUCAGCUCCUCAGUUGAUCUCAUUUUCACCACACUUUUUCUGGCACAAAACUCUGAAAAUCCCUUUAACGAAACACCACUGGAUGCUUUUGUCAUAAGACAACUUUUUUGAAAUAGAAAAUGCCUGUUAUUAAUAAUCUACUAAUGCUCUGAAAAAUAAAUGCCUACGUUAUUACG